UGCAAGAUUGAUAGCACAGCAACAGUAAUUUGAAUUGGAUAUUUAUAUUCUCCGACGGCGAGACACACGUACGCAUUUCACCGAAAGCCCUGUCCAUAGGCUCCUCGUAAGAAUGAAGGCUGGCGUGCUCAUCAUGCUCCUGGCCUUGGCGAUUGAGCUCAUUAACCCCGUGUGCGCAAAGAAGAAUAGGACUAUCGGAAGUUGUUUUCACACAGAGUGCCAGCACGUGGGCCAGUGUGUUGGCGACUGUGGCGGUUGCUAUGGCCAGAAAGGGAAAAAUCCGCUCACGAAGUUCUGCCAGCCUCGAUAUCGUCGCAGAACAUCACGUACGCGUCGACCUGGACCUCAGCCACGGACCCAACUUACAGUUCCAGCUUUAAGCUUCAUGGCCAAAUAAAACAUGGUUCGGAAAUGGGA